AAUAACAUUCAAUGUAUUCUUGGGGUAGAAUUUUUUUAGUGUAUUCUGUCUUACCCUGGCACUGCUGCCGUAUCUGGGCCAAGAGUUGAGUAUCUGUACAGAGAUCGAUUGAGAUAAGGGAUUUCAUCCUUGAAUGCACAGCUCUUCCUUUUAAAGCCUGCAAGAUCUGUGCUGUUGAAUAAGGACUGCAAGAUCAGAAUAGUGAAACUGAAAACAUAGGCAUGGCCAGGGAAGUCAUUCUCUUCCUGGAUUUCCCCUUUCUUUAAAAAAAUAAAAAAAUAUGGUCCUUCCCUCCAAUAUCAAACAUUCUUACAAACUUAACAAACUGCUGCUGACAACCAUAGCUGCCACACGCAGAAAAGAUCUGUCAAAAAGUACUAACUUCCAGCAGCUGGUGAUUCCAAACAAAUAACACCUUGGGAACUAGCCCUUUUGAAGGAAGAUGGUGCAAACCUACUAACGGUUGGGGUCUGGUCUAAACAAGCAGCGUUUUUUACCUUGGUCUAAGAGGUAUUGUCUGUCUCGAAGAAAAAGCAUAAUAAAAACAACAUACCAAAGUUUCAUUUCAAGGGUGGCCCAUUUUUAUUCAUUUGACUGCAAUUAGACAUGCAACUUUUUGGCUGUGAAGAGAAGACCUGAAAUAGAUGGACAUAUCAAACCUAUGUAUGCAGGAGAACAAAGCUGCCAUGAGGCAUUUUUACAUAAUUUUUUUCACAUGAUAUUUUUUUACAGAGAUUUAUUUAUGGAAGAUUAUUUUAUAUAGAUCCUGUUAAAACUCCCUGGAUUCACCAUUAUACAAUGUAAGCCUGUGAGCACUGAACUGAUCCAUGGUGAAGAACUGGAUAAAAGACUGUUCUCAUCUCUGGAUGAAGAAAGCAUCACUAGGCAGAUUCACCAUCCAAAAGAGUUAUGAAGUCAAGCUGCCAACUGUUCUUCAAGAUUGUGCCCCCAAAAAGCUGAAAAAGAUCACUUUAAAAAAAAAAAAAGAUAAAAAAGACAUUGAAAUUAGUGACUGCAGGACUGGAGUUUGGACAUGAGCUCAAGCUCAAGCAAAAAAGAGGGAAAAACACAAACUAGGGUCAUAAAUACUAGACAGGAAGCUGAUUAAAGUGCUGCUUUAUCCCUGCCUGCCUGUAGACCUUUUCCUUUCUCUUAUCCAUAACAAGCAAUCAAAAAAUCCCUCUGUCAUUCUGUAGGAAGUCACUCUGCAUCCCUUUCCCCAUUCCCAAGCGUGGCUUUCUAAAACCCCUUGGGUGGUUUUCCAGGUAAAAAUACAGGCUGAACUUUGCAAACUUCUCUCAAGCUCUGGUGGUUUCACACCAGUUUGGGAAUUUCCAUUACAGUGUCAUCUUCGAUCCACUCUGUUCUAAACACAAUUAUGGGAAUUUUGUGAAUCAUCUUGUUGUAGAGUAACAAAGUAUUGCAAUGCAGUAAUGGAGGGUACCAGCAGACGGUGACAUAUGUAAAUUGCUAUAAAGAUUCUGUGCAACAAAAGAGUCUUCAGAAUAUGCAGACAUUCGACGUACUUCUGCUUCCAUAUAUUGUAAUGCUCAGGAAAAAAAAAAUCUUCUUUUCAUUAUUUCUAACUUGGUCUGCUACAGCUGGUGGCAGCUGUUUGGGGACUUUUUUCUGCCACUCAGAUAAUUUUGUUUGGCAUUGAUGCCUGAGUAGCUGCUGCAAACCAUCUUGGAAACUCCUACAGAGUGUGUCUACAUUAUGCUUUUUUGCUGAGUAUUUUUUUUUCCUUUGGAGAAGUUAUUACC